GUCCACGCCGUAAACGAUGUCAACUAGCCGUUGGAUUCCUUGAGGAUUUAGUGGCGCAGCUAACGCAUUAAGUUGACCGCCUGGGGAGUACGGCCGCAAGGUUAAAAACUCAAAAUGAAUUGACGGGGGCCCGCACAAGCGGUGGAGCAUGUGGUUUAAUUCGAAGCAACGCGAAGAACCUUACCAGGCCUUGACAUCUACAGAACUUUCCAGAGAUGGAUUGGUGCCUUGGGAACUGUAAGACAGGUGCUGCAUGGCUGUCGU
rnacentral:rRNA from 1 species